rnacentral:tRNA from 3 species
GCUGGGAUGGCGGAGUGGUCAAUCGCAUCAGACUGUAAAUCUGACGCCCGUUCGGGCUACCCAGGUUCAAAUCCUGGUCCCAGCA